CUAUGCUUUAUACUGUAAUUGUGUAGUCCUAUAGUAUGAUAUUACAAUAUUAAAUGCAUCUUACAAAUAAUACUGUUUAACAAUUAGUAAACACUAGUCAUGGCAUAUCCAAAUACAAUGUAUGGUUCAACUAAUCCUGAAACACAAAUAAGUCCAGAAGUACAGCAAUGGUUUGGUACUGUUGAUAGAGAUGGCAGUGGAAGAAUCACAGCUAUAGAAUUAAAAUCUGCAUUAGCAAAUGGACAAGGGGGUACAUUUUCAGAUACAGCUUGUAGACUUAUGAUAGGAAUGUUUGAUAAGGAAAAAAAUGGUACAAUAGAUUUACUUGAGUUUCAAGCUCUUUAUAAUUACAUUAAUGCAUGGCUAGGUGUCUUUCGUGGUUUUGAUCAUGAUAAUUCUGGAAGUAUACAAGAAAAUGAAUUAAGUGCAGCUUUAACUCAAAUGGGAUAUAGAUUAAGUCCAAAAUUCAUUUCAUUUUUAAUAAAAAAAAGUGAUCCUAUUGGUCAUUCUACUAUCACUAUAGAUCAAUUUAUUGUAUUAUGUGUUCAAAUUCAGAGAUUUACAGAUGCUUUUCGAAUAAGGGAUAAUGAACAAACAGGAGUAAUCACUAUUGGAUUCGAAGAUUUUCUAGGAGUUGCACUUAAUUGUAAUGUUUCGAUAAAACCUUCAAUGAUGAAACAAAAUUAAAGAAUUGCAAUACAACAAUAUCACAUACUAGAGAAGCAUAUAAAAGAAUUCAAGAAUUUAAUAGAUUAAAAAGAGCAAGACAACUUCUUCAUGAUAUUUCUUUUACAAAUGAAUUACUUGCAGAUGGUUCAGAUAUAGAAAUAUUGAGUCUUGCUAACAUAAUAAUAAAAAGAUUAAAAACUUUAGGAGUUUGUAAUAAUGUAUUAGAAAAUUCCUGUGAAGAUAUAAGGAACAUAUUUAGAUCUCAUAUUGAUAUCUAUCGUUGUACAUUUUGUUCAAGUGGUGGUAAGAAAGAAGUUACUUGCGGAUGUGGAGGAAUUAUGCCUAUAUAACAUAUAUUCUUUGAAUAAUUUUAUUAUAUGCUAUUAUCUAUUAUAAUAUAAAAUAUAAUUUAAUUAAAGGUGGAUAUAGAGGCUGUGGACAUGGUCACAUUGGACAUCCUGGUAUACACCAUUGAUCUUGCUGUGGAUUAAUCUUUCGUUAUGGAUGUUGUUUAAGUUUUCAGAAAUAUCAAUUGUUAUUUUAAUGUUAUUAAUUUAAAAAUAAAUAUAAAUAUAUAUAUAUAAA